AUGGCAAGCUCCGCGUACAAGGCCCUGUUCCAUGGAUCUAUCACCAGCCCCUUCUGGCGCCUCAUCUGGCGCUCGUGGGCACCUGAUGGAGCCAAGUUCUUUCUCUGGCUAGCCUCGAUGGAUCGCUGCUGGACGGCCAAACGCCACGCUCGUCAUGGAUUGCCGCAUGACCCCCUCUGCAAGUUCUGCUGCCAAGAGCUCGAAUCCCUGGAUCACCUACUUGCCGGUGUCUUCUCCAGGAUAACUUGGCGCGAGAUCCUCUCAUGGUGCCGGCUACCAAUCCCCAUACCAGGCUCCACGGAUGCCUUCUUCGACUAG
rnacentral:rRNA from 1 species